GGGAGUACAGCUCAGUGGUAGUGUGCAUGCUUAGCAUGCACAACGUCCUGGGUUCAAUCCCCAGUACCUCCA
rnacentral:tRNA from 1 species